rnacentral:rRNA from 1 species
CAUAGGUUUGGUCCCAGCCUUCCUGUUAACUUUCAAUAGACUUAUACAUGCAAGCAUCCACGCCCCGGUGAGUAACGCCCUUCGAAUCACACAGGACUAAAAGGAGCAGGUAUCAAGCACACACUCUUGUAGCUCACAACGCCUUGCUUAACCACACCCCCACGGGAGACAGCAGUAACAAAAAUUAAGCCAUAAACGAAAGUUUGACUAAGCCAUAUUGACUAGGGUUGGUAAAUCUCGUGCCAGCCACCGCGGUCAUACGAUUGACCCAAGCUAACAGGAGUACGGCGUAAAGCGUGUUAAAGCAUCAUACUAAAUAGAGUUAAAUUUUAAUUAAACUGUAAAAAGCCAUAAUUAUAACAAAAAUAAAUGACGAAAGUAACCCUACAAUAGCUGAUACACCAUAGCUAAGACCCAAACUGGGAUUAGAUACCCCACUAUGCUUAGCCCUAAACACAAAUAAUUAU